CCUCUUGACGACGAGGAUAUGAUGUCCUAUGUCCUCACCGACCUCGAUGAAGAUUUUGAGCCGGUGGUGUCCUCUUUGGUAGGGAGGAUUGAUCCAGUUUCCUUUUCUGAGAUGUAUUCACAACUGUUAAGUUUUGAGU
rnacentral:snoRNA from 1 species